rnacentral:rRNA from 1 species
GCAACCUCAGGUCAGGCAGGGCCACCCGCUGAUUUAAGCAUAAAGGGCGAAUUCG